ACGUCUCACGGCCGCACGGCGUCUCUCGGUCUGAUCGAAGCUCUCUGCCUCGGUGCCUCUCAACUGCACGGCGCACGCACGCGACGACCGACGAGGGUUUGAGACGGUUUUCUGAUUUCUCAGUCACUCAAAGUCAAAAGGGUUUGAUAGAAUUCUGAUUCUGGAAAAAGGUUGAUUCUGGGAAAGGGUUGAUGAGGAAAUUGAAAUUGAUAUGUGGAAAUUGAAAUUGAUAUCUCAGUAUCUCACUAUCUCAUAAGGGUGUUUCUGAUAAAAAUUGUGAUGCAUAAGGGCUUUUGUCUGUUUGAACUUAUGCUGCUGCGAGUAACUGAUGAGAAUAUUGCAGGCUUUUUUCUUUUGAUAUUAUGGUCUGGUAGCAUUAUGGUAGGGAAGUAUUGUUAGUUCUGAUAUUUUGUUUUGCUAGGAUCUUGUUAGGGAGUGCAGUUAGUGCACGAAAUUAGCUGGCCAGUACUUGUUAUUGUGUAAAACAGAGAUGUAUUGUUUCUGGUUUGGCUUGCAUUUACAGCUAGUCUUGUUCCUUGCGUGAUGUAAAUGGUUUGGAGUACACCUAGUACUCCUAUAUUAAUUCAUUCUUUUCUUGGAGUA